UGCCCAAUAGCUCAGUUGGUUAGAGCAUCUGACUGUUAAUCAGAGGGUCUCAGGUUCAAGUCCUGGUUGGGCAG
rnacentral:tRNA from 1 species